rnacentral:rRNA from 1 species
UACGUAGGGUGCAAGCGUUAAUCGGAAUUACUGGGCGUAAAGCGUGCGCAGGCGGUCCGUUAAGACAGAUGUGAAAUCCCCGGGCUUAACCUGGGAAUUGCAUUUGUGACUGCACGGCUAGAGUACGGAAGAGGCGAGUGGAAUUCCUGGUGUAGCGGUGGAAUGCGCAGAUAUCAGGAGGAACACCAAUAGCGAAGGCAGCUCGCUGGGACGUUACUGACACUGAGGCGCGAAAGCGUGGGGAGCGAACAGG